AUUGAACGCUGGCGGCAGGCCUAACACAUGCAAGUCGAGCGGAUGAAGGGAGCUUGCUCCUGGCUUCAGCGGCGGACGGGAGAGUAAUGCCUAGGAAUCUGCCUGGUAGUGGGGGAUCACGUCGGAAAACGGGCGCUAAUACCGCAUACGUCCUGAGGGAGAGCGUGGGGGAUCUUCGGACCUCACGCUCUCAGAUGAUCCUAGGUCGGAUUAGCUAGUUGGUGGGGUAAAGGCCUACCAAGGCGACGAUCCGUAACUGGUCUGAGAGGAUGAUCAGUCACACUGGAACUGAGACACGGCCCAGACUCCUACGGGAGGCAGCAGUGGGGAAUAUUGGACAAUGGGCGAAAGCCUGAUCCAGCCAUGCCGCGUGUGUGAAGAAGGUCUUCGGAUUGUAAAGCACUUUAAGUUGGGAGGAAGGGCAGUAAGUUAAUACCGUGCUGUAUUGACGGUACCAACAGAAUAAGCACCGGCUAACUUCGUG
rnacentral:rRNA from 1 species